UACGUAGGGUGCAAGCGUUGUCCGGAAUUAUUGGGCGUAAAGAGCUCGUAGGCGGUUUGUUGCGUCGGCUGUGAAAUCCCGAGGCUCAACCUCGGGUCUGCAGUCGAUACGAGCAAACUAGAGUGCGGUAGGGGUGACUGGAAUUCCUGGUGUAGCGGUGGAAUGCGCAGAUAUCAGGAGGAACACCGAUGGCGAAGGCAGGUCACUGGGCCGCAACUGACGCUGAGGAGCGAAAGCAUGGGGAGCGAACAGG
rnacentral:rRNA from 1 species